GACGAACGCUGGCGGCGUGCCUAAUACAUGCAAGUAGAACGCUGAAGCGAGGAGCUUCCUCUUCUUGGAUGAGUUGCGAACGGGUGAGUAACGCGUAGGUAACCUGCCUUGUAGCGGGGGAUAACUAUUGGAAACGAUAGCUAAUACCGCAUAACAAUGGAUGACACAUGUCAUUUAUUUGAAAGGGGCAAUUGCUCCACUACAAGAUGGACCUGCGUUGUAUUAGCUAGUAGGUGAGGUAAUGGCUCACCUAGGCGACGAUACAUAGCCGACCUGAGAGGGUGAUCGGCCACACUGGGACUGAGACACGGCCCAGACUCCUACGGGAGGCAGCAGUAGGGAAUCUUCGGCAAUGGGGGCAACCCUGACCGAGCAACGCCGCGGGAGUGAAGAAGGUUUUCGGAUCGUAAAGCUCUGUUGUAAGUCAAGAACGGGUGUGAGAGUGGAAAGUUCACACUGUGACGGUAGCUUACCAGAAAGAGACGGCUAACUACGUG
rnacentral:rRNA from 1 species